UAUUCUUAUUUCUAGACUUCCCAAACUAUCGUUUGAAAUUCUGAAAAUGGUGUUGGAAGGGUUAUCAGGAAGCUUAGAUGACGGUCUGAUGAAGGGGGGUAUUUUCGUCAUUGUUCAAGCACUGGUCUGUCUAAUCAUUCUCUCCAGUUCAUCAGACGUCUUCUCUACCAAGAUGAGAUCGUUGAGUUUCAAAGCUUCACAGUCGAUCAACAUGGGCCGGAUUUUUGAGGGGCUUUCGGAUGUCUCAUUUGGUGGUGGGCCAUCUCCAUCAUCAAGGAAUCUGCGAUCGUGGGAGAGAGAGAGAGAGAGAGAGAGAGGCUAUUCUUUUGUUAUUUGGAAUUGUAUGUAUUUGAAAUUUACCUGUAUUGGGAUUCGUUAAUUCUUAUAUUAGUUGAAUGGAAAAAAUUUGAUACUCGGGCAGGGGUGAUGGAUGAUAUGCAGGCGAUGCAUGUAACUUAUUAUUAUUUGUAAAAGGGUUUUGGGAUGGUACAACCACAAGCUGUGGGUUUUAGAUGAAUUGGAAAUGGGAAGAGAAGUUACUUAUCGGUAGAUGUUUAAAGUGGGAAUUUCUAUUAGCCAGAGAAGGCUAGGAUCAUUGUUAUAUUGUGGACCACUGGAAAUAGGGCCCCACCCAAUGUUUUAAAUCAGUACAUUGGGUAUUGUAUUGUUCACAACUAAUACGGAUCUGUA